rfam:Stegodyphus mimosarum contig69731, whole genome shotgun sequence.
GCCUUCUUGGUGUAGUGGUCAGCACGCUCGACGCGUAACCGAGAAGCCCGUGGUUCGAUUCCCGGCGAAGGCG